rnacentral:misc_RNA from 1 species
GUAGGUGAACCUGCGGAAGGAUCAUUAACACUCUUAUGAAAUUAACACCUUCAUAUAAACUUAUUCGUCCCGGUCACUGUUGUUUCCCCCGCCUUUACCUAGCGCGAACAUACGGCAGUCAUGGAGGAAGGUCUCUUGCAAACUCCACAAGGUGCGCAUUGGGCCUUCGGCUGUACGACGUCAGACUUCUAGGAUUGUGUGGGGCAAAACGUGCUACCCGUCACACCCAUUGGCGAAGCACAUUAAUAAC